rnacentral:rRNA from 1 species
GCUUACACAUGCAAGUCGAACGGUAACAGGGAAUAGCUUGCUAUUUUGCUGACGAGUGGCGGACGGGUGAGUAAUGCUUGGGAAUUUGCCUGAUGGUGGGGGACAACAGUUGGAAACGACUGCUAAUACCGCAUAAUGUCUACGGACCAAAGGUGGCCUCUAUUUAUAAGCUAUCGCUAUCAGAUGAGCCCAAGUGGGAUUAGCUAGUUGGUAAGGUAAUGGCUUACCAAGGCGACGAUCCCUAGCUGGUCUUAGAGGAUGACCAGCCACACUGGAACUGAGACACGGUCCAGACUCCUACGGGAGGCAGCAGUGGGGAAUAUUGCACAAUGGGGGAAACCCUGAUGCAGCCAUGCCGCGUGUGUGAAGAAGGCUUUCGGGUUGUAAAGCACUUUCAGCGAGGAGGAAAGGGUAUUGCUUAAUACGUAAUAUCUGUGACGUUACUCGCAGAAGAAGCACCGGCUAACUCCGUGCCAGCAGCCGCGGUAAUACGGAGGGUGCAAGCGUUAAUCGGAAUUACUGGGCGUAAAGCGCGCGUAGGUGGUUAAUUAAGUCAGAUGUGAAAGCCCAGGGCUCAACCUUGGAACUGCAUUUGAAACUGGUUAACUAGAGUUCUGUAGAGGGUGGUAGAAUUUCAGGUGUAGCGGUGAAAUGCGUAGAGAUCUGAAGGAAUACCAGUGGCGAAGGCGGCCACCUGGACAGUAACUGACACUGAGGCGCGAAGGCGUGGGGAGCAAACGGGAUUAGAUACCCCGGUAGUCCACGCAGUAAACGAUGUCUAUUAGAAGUUUGUGGCUAUAUGCCGUGGGUUUCAAAGCUAACGCAUUAAAUAGACCGCCUGGGGAGUACGGCCGCAAGGUUAAAACUCAAAUGAAUUGACGGGGGCCCGCACAAGCGGUGGAGCAUGUGGUUUAAUUCCGAUGCAACGC